rnacentral:rRNA from 1 species
UACGUAGGGGGCUAGCGUUGUCCGGAUUUAUUGGGCGUAAAGAGCGUGUAGGCGGCCAGAUAGGUCUGCUGUGAAAACUCGAGGCUCAACCUCGAGAUGUCGGCGGAAACCAUUUGGCUAGAGUCCGGAAGAGGAAAGUGGAAUUCCUGGUGUAGCGGUGAAAUGCGCAGAUAUCAGGAGGAACACCAAUGGCGAAGGCAGCUCGCUGGGACGGUACUGACGCUGAGACGCGAAAGCGUGGGGAGCAAACAGG